rnacentral:tRNA from 1 species
ACUCUAUUAGUAUAAUAAUAUUACAUUUAACUUCCAAUUAAAAAAUCCUAUGAUAGAGUA